CCUUGAUUUAAUAUUUUAAGUAAGCUUUAAAUAAAACAGCCACUUAUCCAUCGUUCCUAGUUAUGUUGAUUUUAACACCAUGAAUACCAGAGUUAUUGAACAUCUACAUUGAUCAGCCACAACAUUUAAACUACCUGCCUAAUAUUGUGUUGGUCCCCAUAGUGCUGCCAGAACAGCUCUGAUGCGUUGACCUCUAAAUAUGUCCUGUAGUAUCCAGCGCCAAUAUUUUAGAAGCAGAUCCUUUAGGUCAUGCAAGUUGCGAGGUGGGACCUCCAUGGAUUGGAUUUGUUGUUUAACACCUUAAACUCUUUAUCAUGUUCUUCAAACCAUUCCUGAACAAUUUUUGCAGUGUGGCACAAUACAUUAUCCUGCUGAAACAGAGUGGCAUGGUGCAUUAUCCUGCCAUCAGGGAACACCGUUGCCAUGAAGGGGUGCGUGGUCUGCAACAAGCUCUAGGUAGGUGUCAAAGUAACAGUCACAUGACCAGGACCAGUUCCGAUGCUCACAACUUCAUUGAAGGCGCUUUCGGCAGUGAAAAGGAGUCAACGUGGGCACUCUGUCCUGGGGAGUAUACCCAAACUAGCAGGAUAUGGGAAACAAAACAGGAGAGAUAGAAAUAUAUUACCAGGCCUUAGAGUGGACGGAUGUAAAUAAGCAGAAAGAGACUAAAUCAGACACUAGCCAAUUUCAGGUUACAAAUACCAGAAAUGCGAUAAGUCGGGUCAGGAUUCCAGAGAUACAAACAGAAUUCAGGAACACACUAAUAGGAUACCAAAGUAGAAACCACGAUAGGGCACUGAAUAAGGGCCUAGAAUGGCUAUAUGUAGUGUUACUAUUGUUCUGAUUUGUUCGCGUCAGCUCUGCGACUCCAUAAUGUAUGAAAAGGAGGUCGCCUAGGCGAUGUGGAUGCUUCUGAAUCGCAAACGUUCUGCAUAUAAGGACGCGCCAUUCCAGCAUUCAUGCUUCCCUCUGCCUCCCUUGGUCUUUCAUUAUUCCAGUAAUCAUUCCCAGGACUUCAUUUUCUGGGCAGGCCGCUCUGUUCUGUACCUUGUGACCCUCUCCCAGGACAGAUUCCCCAGCCUGGUGUUUUGACACUUUUAAUUUAAUAAUUUUGUUAUGAAGUCAAAUCUGUUGGUUUUUUAUAUAUAUAUAUAUAUAUAUAUAUAUAUUUUUUUUUUUUUAUUAUUAUUAUUAUUUUUUCCCCACACAUGGUUUUAUUUUGUGUAAAUUCACAGACCACCUGUUUUGUCCCACUAGUGGAAAGAUCUGAUAUUUCUAGUCUACUACUGCUCGAGUACAACGAUACCCCACAUGUAUACCUUUGUCCCUAAUCCCACCAAUAAUCUUACUCCUAAUCCAGUCCUUAUCCCUAUUUCAGAGGAGAUUUCUGAAACAAAUAUGUAUACCUGACACUAUAGGUUGUCUUGUAGACUUAACCCUGCAAGGUAAUUAUUGCAGUUUCUCAAUAACUGCAAUAAUUACCAUUGCAGGGUUAAACUGACAGGUACAGUGCACCUAGACCAGUUCAAUGAGCUGUUGUGGUUUGGUGCCUAUAGUGCCCCUGUGAAGCUGUACUAUUUCUGGUGACCAUGGUGUCCCUUUAAGAUUUUCUUCCAACGUGUGUAUGUGUGCAUUAUGCUGAUGUAAUGCAUUAUAGUGUUGGUAGAACUAUUUUUUUCAGGGCAAUGUUUUAUUUCCAGGCUGGCUAUGGCUCCAUCAGAUUCCAUACACCCUAAAAGAUAGUCCUGAGUCCUGUUAUGGAUUAUCAGCAUCAGAAUUAGUAUCAGACUUCUUUAAAGGUUCACUCCAACCCUUAUAAAAUUAUAUAUUCUUUAUCCCCCCUUCUUAAACCCUGUGAAAAGUUUUAUUUACCUGGAAUCCAGCGACGGCCAAAGCUCCUGAUGCUGUUUUCCAUGCCCCAUUCUGACGUCACCCCGGCACUUACAGAGAAACCUUUCAUUGGACCGCAUGUACUUUGAUCCAGUGAGGGAGGGAGAAGAGUAGGGAUGCUGGGAGGGCUAUUAAAACAAAAAAAGCCUAUUCAAUUAGUUGAAGGGAAUGGAGACAGGAGCACCCAGUGGGAGGGAGGGUAAAGCUUUCUUCCCUCCAGACACUCUGUCUGCAAAAGGUAAUAUUUUUUACAUCUGAUGUCAGUGCCCUGUCCUGUGCUGGAAGUGCUAACUGAAACACUGAAACACUGCAAGCUGAAACACUGCACAUGCAGACUCCUACCACCAGGAUCACUUCAAAUCACUGAAAUGGUCAUGGUUGUUGAAGCAACCAUUUAAAGUGGUUGUUGUUUUUGAGAAUACAUCUAUUGGCUUAUGGCAGGGCUUGACAACUUUCCACAGAAUAUAGGAGCCAGAAGAAUAAACUGUGAGCCAGCUUUUCUUUUUAACCGUAACACUUUGGGCACUAUAACAUCUUAUCGAAAUUCAAUUGUUAUGGUUCCAUGAGGUGGCCAGGUGCUUUCUUACCUGAAUGGAUUAAACCAUUCUCAAGUGGCUUAACCCCAAAGAUUGCCUCCAGUGCUGGAUCUCCUGUUCCCCGAACGGUAUUCAACUUCUGAUAUUGCUGCUGAUUGGUGGUAUGUACCUUUUUAUAUUUUUUAUGAAACGGUAGCUACUGAUUAGUUUAGAGCUCUAGUUAAAUCGUACUAGUCACAGGUUGCUUGAUGUUGGAUCUCCAGUUCCCCCAGCGGCAUUUGUCUUGGCUAGUGCCGUUAGCUGGCGCUCUGAGCUAAUCAGUGGCUCCGAAAUAAAAAAAAUUAAAAAACAUUGUUAUGGUGCCCAGAUUGUUCCUUUAUUUAUUUUUUAACAAAAUAUAGAAAUACUAUAUACAUGGAUACUAUAUACAUACCUGAGGUAGCUUUUGGGGUUAAGCCGUUCAAGAACAGUUCAACCCUUCAGGUAAGAAAGCACCUGGUAACCUCCUAGCAGCAGAACAACUACAUUUUAAAGUUGUUAUGGUUCCUUUAUUUUUUUCUUAACAAAAUAUAGAAAUACUAUAUACAUUUAGGAAAUGUGUAAAGGUUUUAGCAGGUGGAAAAUAGGAAUGUUUUUAAAAAAAAAUCUGUUACUAGUUUACAGGUUUAUUCAUUAAAGCAGCGGUUCCCAAACUAUGUGCCGCGGCGCUCCACGGUACACAGGGGUGUUGUGAAAAGUUUCCCUGGUGCUAUGAUCAUAUGAUCAUAGCACCAGGAAAAUUGUGCUGUGCCUCGCUCUCCCCUGCCGGCUCUGUAGGACCGGAAGGGAGAGCGAUCAAAGAUCUCCCUCACAGGCCCGAUAGCACUGUAAUGCUGCAAUCGGCAAUGCUCCGAAUCUCACAAAAGUGAACUCUAGCCUCAGGAGCUGAUAGAGUUCACUCUCACCACUUGGACCACCAGGGCUUCUCCACCAGAACACCACGGAUUGCCUUGUCCUGUAUAUAAAAACAAUUUUUUUUAUUUAAAAAAAAAAAAGUUUAUAUUUAUUAAUCCUCCUACUCCCACAGACCCACAAUAACGUCCCCCAUACACACUCACACACACUGCCCCCCAUACACUCAUACUGCCUCCCAUUUACACACACUGCCACCCCUCACACAUACACUGUACCACUCAUGCACACCCUGCCCCCUCUCACACACACUGUACUUCUCACGCACACACUGUAGCCCUCACACACACACACACACAACAUCCUUCACAAACACAAUGCACCCUCGUAGACACACUGCACUCUACAUACAUUGCACCCCUCACACACACACACACACUAGUGCCCUAUCCCCUACUACAGUCCCCUAUUCCGGCACACUCCAGGUAAGUUGUCGAACUGUUCUUAAACAGUUAGACUACUUACCCUGGGAGGGCACCAUGGCACUCCUGGCACCAUAACCACUACAGGGUGCUGUAGUGAUUAUUGUGUCUGGAUUGUUUCUUUAAAUAAUCUACCAGUGCCCCUCCCAAGAUUAGGUUCUAGAUUCUCCUCUGACAGGGAAACAUUUCUGCUGAACAGUGGCCCAGUGUAUGCCGCAGCGCUGUACAUGUAUACAACCUAGAAAUUUGUUUUGACUUGGGGUGCCUUGGAAAAGUAUUGAAAUAUUAAGGGCGCCUUGAACCUAAAAAGUUUAGGAACCACUGCAUUAAAACUAAUUUCAAAAUGAAUGCCAUUAUAGCCAAACUAGUCACCUAUGAUUCCAGCUACUAUGAGAUUCAGUUUAAAAUUCAUGUUUAAUUCUCACUUUAGUGAAUAACCCUGUUAUAUGUAUCAAUUAACAAAUUGCAAUGUUAGUGAAGAGAAGAAAAAUCAAGAGCAUCAAUUAAUUGUAUUAAAGGACCACUAUAGGCACCCAGACCACUUCAGCUCAAUUAAGUGGUCUGGGUGCCAGGUUCCCCUAGCUUUAACCCUGCAGCUGAAAACAUAAAACUGCUAUAUUUACACAGCAGGGUUAAUCCAACCUCUAGUGGCUGUCUCCGUGACAGCCACAAGAGGCAUUUUCGCGAUUUACACGGAGUAAAUCGCACUAUUUGAUGCUGGACGUCCUCAUGGACCUCCAGCUUAAAAAAAAAAAAAAAUCCCCAUAGGAAAGCAAUGAUUAAUGCUUUCCUAUGGGCAGGUUUGAACGCGCGCGUACCUCUGGCUGCGCAUGCGCAUUCGGCUCCACUCUGGAGCUGACGUCUGCGGGGAGAAGAGUUCACCAGCGCUAAGGGAGCCCGGCGCUGGAUUUAGGUAAGUGGCUAAAUGGGUUUUAACCCCUUCAGUGCCGAGGGAGGGCGGCACUCCAAGAGCCUAUAGUGCCAGGAAAACGGGUUUGUUUUCCUGGCACUAUAGGAUCCCUUUAAAAUCAGGAAUUUUGUAGGCAUAUAGUCAGGUGCAUGAUUAAACAAUUAUACCAAAAAGGAGCUAACAGUCAUCAGUUUAAAGGAAUACUGCGCUCCCAAAAAACUGUGUUUUAUUAAGACACUGUUUUUUGGUUAGAGUAACCCUUGCUGGCAUACUCUCCUGGUGCUCCUCCUACCUCUCCCAGCGCUCUUUCAGUGUUUCUUUCUCUGACUCCGCCUCUUCCCAUCAACCACUCUCUGCCAGCAUCCCCCAAGGUUCAGUCCUUGGUCCCCUACUGUUCUCUAUCUAUACUGCCUCCCUUGGGAAACUCAUCAGCUCCUUUGGCUUCCGUUAUCAUUUCUAUGCGGAUGACACGCAAAUCUACCUGUCCUCUCCUGAUCUCUUUCAAUCCAUCUUGACUCGUGUCUCUGACUGCCUCUCUUCGAUCUCCAACUGGAUGGCUGCUCACUUCCUUAAACUCAACCUGUCCAAAACAGAACUUCUGGUCUUUCCUCCCUCAAGUGUUACUACUCCUGUGUCUGUCUCCCUUCAAGUCAACGGCGCUACCAUCACCUCUACCUCACAGGCUCGCUGCCUGGGUGUUCUUUUUGACUCCAACCUCUCCUUCACCCCUCAUAUCCAAUCAAUCACCAAAUCCUGCAGCUUCCAUCUCAAAAACAUCUCAAAAGCGCACGUUCGCCCCUAUUUAACCCCAGAUGCGGCUAAGGUUCUGGUCCAUGCUCUUGUUCUCUCUCGCCUUGACUUCUGCAAUACCCUUCUCAAUGGUCUUACAUGUUCCCAGAUUGCACCGCUGCAAUUUAUAAUAAAUGCGGCGGUGAGGCUCAUUUUCCUGUCCGCUCGCACCUCCCACGCCUCCCCGCUCUGUCAGUCCCUGCACUGACUUCCAGUUAAAUAUAGGGUUCAAUUUAAAAUUCUGGUGCUUGCUUACAAGUCCCUACAUAAUGCUGCUCCAACCUACCUAUCCUCCCUAAUACACAAGUAUGUCCCGUCGAGGCCCCUACGCUCUGCCAAAGACCUAUGUCUAUCCUCUGUCCGUACUCCCACCUCUUAUGCUCGCCUCCAAGAUUUCUCCAAGGCUGCGCCUCUUCUGUGGAACACCCUUCCCUUCUCCGUAAGACUUUCACCCAGUUUCCGCUCAUUCAAAAAAUCAUUGAAAACUCACUUCUUCAAGAAAGCAUAUCAGUUAAACUGUUAGCAGGUUUUUAUGCCCCAUACCCCAUGACUCCUCUCCUGCAACUGUCAAAAAUUACCUACUAAGCCCUCAAUGAAUACUUUUCUAACAACCUACUUCGUACCCCUACUUUUACCCUUUGUGUCACUAUACCCCACUCCCUCUAGAAUGUAAGCUCAUUGAGCAGGGCCCUCCACCUCUCUGUUCCUGUACGUCCAAUUGUCUGGUUAAAAUUACAUGUCUGUUAGUCCACCCAAUGUACAGCGCUACGGAAUAUGAUGGCGCUAUAUAAAUAAUAAAAUAAUAAUAAUACUCCCCAUAAGAAAAAAAGAAAUAAAGAUAAAAACUUACCUGUGAUCAAGUGGUGAGUUCUCCUUGCAGCUUAAUUCUUAAUUCUUCUUUGGUGGCAUCACUCCUUGUUACUGCACGGGGAAAGACAUCCAAUCCGAAGAAAAAAAUGAAAGGAGAACUUGGG